rnacentral:rRNA from 1 species
AUUGAACGCUGGCGGCAUGCCUUACACAUGCAAGUCGAACGGCAGCACGGGAGCAAUCCUGGUGGCGAGUGGCGAACGGGUGAGUAAUAUAUCGGAACGUGCCCAGUCGUGGGGGAUAACGUAGCGAAAGCUACGCUAAUACCGCAUACGAUCUAUGGAUGAAAGCGGGGGAUCGCAAGACCUCGCGCGGUUGGAGCGGCCGAUAUCAGAUUAGGUAGUUGGUGAGGUAAAGGCCCACCAAGCCGACGAUCUGUAGCUGGUCUGAGAGGACGACCAGCCACACUGGAACUGAGACACGGUCCAGACUCCUACGGGAGGCAGCAGUGGGGAAUUUUGGACAAUGGGCGCAAGCCUGAUCCAGCAAUGCCGCGUGCAGGAUGAAGGCCUUCGGGUUGUAAACUGCUUUUGUACGGAACGAAACGGUGAGCUCUAAUACAGUUUGCUAAUGACGGUACCGUAAGAAUAAGCACCGGCUAACUACGUGCCAGCCGCCGCCGUAA